rnacentral:rRNA from 1 species
UACGGAGGAGGCAAGCGUUAUCCGGAUUUAUUGGGCGUAAAGCGUCCGCAGGCGGUUGGUCAAGUCUGUUGUCAAAGCGCGAAGCUUAACUUCUUAAGGGCAGUGGAAACUGAUGAACUUGAGGGUGAUAGGGGCAGCGGGAAUUCCUGGUGUAGCGGUGAAAUGCGUAGAGAUUAGGAAGAACACCGGUGGCGAAAGCGCUCUGCUGGGUCACACCUGACACUGAGGGACGAAAGCUAGGGGAGCGAAAGGG